CGGACGGGGUGAGUAAUGUCUGGGAAACUGCCUGAUGGAGGGGGAUAACUACUGGAAACGGUAGCUAAUACCGCAUAACGUCGCAAGACCAAAGAGGGGGACCUUAGGGCCUCUUGCCAUCGGAUGUGCCCAGAUGGGAUUAGCUAGUAGGUGGGGUAAUGGCUCACCUAGGCGACGAUCCCUAGCUGGUCUGAGAGGAUGACCAGCCACACUGGAACUGAGACACGGUCCAG
rnacentral:rRNA from 1 species